CAGUUAAACAAAUUUAGCAUUUUCACUCAUGGGUUAAUUGAAUUUCUUACAGGGUAUUCUAAUUGAUUGAUUUUGUCGCGUUGCUGAAUUUUGUCUUGACAUCAGUUUAGUGGAUUCCAGCCUCUAAAUAUAUAAAAUAAUAAAUUAUAAUUAUCAAUUUAUCACAAUCUUCGUUUCAAGAUUCUUGGCUGGCUAUGAUUUGUUUGAAUUAUUUAUUGAAGUGGGCACCUGGCAAAGACAACAUGAUCACACUAACCCCACAAGUAAAACGACGUGAACAAGCUGAAGGCACGUUUCCAUGACUGGACAAGUUUGGACACUGCCACCCGAGAAGCAUCACCCUCCAUCAAUGCAGCCUCGGCUGCAUUUCUCACAGCAAGAGCUCGGUACCAAACCAACUUACCUUUCUCUGACUCCAUCUACCCUCUAACUCGCUCCUCGAACCUUGCUAAACCUACAAACCCGUCAUCCGCUUCGUUUAUUGGCAAAGCAAGUUUCAUUUCUUCCGAUUCAACAAUAAGGUUGCUGGGUACAGGAGUGAUGAGCAUGUGAAUAGAUAGGGAAGGUCGCUGGGUCAAUAACAGUUUGCCUAGCUCCACCAUAGAUAUCAACUGGCCAAUCGGAGAGGCGUGGCCUCUUCUGUGGCUCCUUGUGGCCUUUCCUAUGGCUGUCUAUUUUAAUAGGACAAAAAAGAGAGGCUAGAAGCAGCAUCUUGGCAUGGCAUAGGGAUAGAUACGUGCGGUUCCACCCAAGAUUUUCAAUGAUAUGUUUAGAUAUUAAAUAAUUGAUGUCAAGUCUUUCACCUUGGUUUCUCAUACUAGGCGAAGACAAUACUGAAGUAGCAAACAACCAUCGAAACCAAACCUAAAAUUCCUAAAUCUAGACAAAAUUAAGGCCAGAGUACAUCAGAAAUCUAAGCCCUAAACAGUAGUCAGCACUAACGUCAGAUUCCAUGGUUGUUUGUAGGCACAAGAUAUCUUCUACAUUUUCACCAAAGGAAGCCAAUAGAAUUUAUUUAUCUUUCCUUGACAAGUAGUUACCAGGACAAUCGGUAGAAAAAACAGGGGCAGGGAGUGGGAAAGGAAGGGAGGACCACAAGAUUUCAGACUUCAGAGUCCCAUCAUGAAAACAAACUUUUGUUUCUUCAACUUGCAAUGUGUCCAUGUCUAUCUUUAAAAAAAUUUCAUGAAAACGUCCAAGCUUUUGUUAAAUCAACUUUAAACUGCUUAAGAUUAGUUUGGAUUCACAGCAAUUUUAUAUUCAACAAAAUCAGAGCCCAUAAUGUCCUACGACAUCAGACAAUGAAGUAUUAUCUAGAUCACAACAAAGCAUCUUUCACUAAAAACAGAUAGUUUCUCAGAUUAUAUUACGAAUAUCCCUGCUCCACAAGUUUUUCACCACUGAUUUUUACACAGAAAUCAGUGCCUUAAUAAUGGAAAUCAACAUCAAACUGUAUGCCUAAGUUCACCAAUUAGAAUGAAA